CCAGUUGCAGAAGCACACAUGUCUCCUUCAAUUGAGCCCAACUCAUCAUCACUGAAGCCUAAUGCCUGACCAUCAACAGAUUUAGAUGUAACAUGCUCAUUUAAGCUGUCCUUCACAAUCGUACCAACAUUAAUUUCGGGAACGGAAUACCUUUCCCCUUCACUGAAUGCAUGCAAAUUUGAACCAAUAGAUAUCAAACUACUGCUUUUCAGAUGAUUCUGACCUUCAAUAGAAGAGUUCUCAAGUUCUGGAGAUAGAUUUUCACUACUAGCUGAUCCACUGGAUCUUUUUGCCCCCUCAAGCCCUGACAUGGGAUCAACACCCACAAUCUCACUUGUUUGCACCUUCCUAAAAUGUGUUUCUGUUGAAACAGGCGACUUNNNNNNNNNNACUUGCAAAACUGAUAACUUGAAUAAAUGGGAGGUGAAAUUCUCUUAGUCCUAAAAAAGCUGGACAUCUCUGCUUUGGAGAAGAUAUUAAAAGGAGGAAUUUGAGCCUUGNNNNNNNNUCCCCGCAGACGUUUUCUGAAAAUUUUCCCUCAUUAACAAGUGUUUCUAUAGAUGUUGUAUCCUGAACAGAAACAAGACCAUUGUAGGCCCCAUUAAGGCUUUGGCCCAUUUCAUCCUUAAGUGGAGACGCAAAUUCAUUUGACACUCCAUUUAAACCAUGAAGUUUAUCCAAAGCCUCUUUCAGUGAUCCAUUUUUCUGUUCCAGGAGGGACGUCUCUUCUAUAAUAGAAGGUGCCUGCAAUUCUCUGGUUUCAUUGGUAUCUUGUUGUACCAUAUCACUGGGAGUACUGAACAGAGAUGCACUGCGCAUCAUGUACUGCCUCCAUCUGGAGAUC
rnacentral:misc_RNA from 1 species